ACACAUGCAAGUCGAGCGGUAACAGAAAUUAGCUUGCUAAUUUGCUGACGAGCGGCGGACGGGUGAGUAAUGCCUGGGAAUAUGCCUUGAUGUGGGGGAUAACUAUUGGAAACGAUAGCUAAUACCGCAUAAUGUCUUCGGACCAAAGAGGGGGAUCUUCGGACCUCUCGCGUCAAGAUUAGCCCAGGUGAGAUUAGCUAGUUGGUGGGGUAAGAGCUCACCAAGGCGACGAUCUCUAGCUGGUCUGAGAGGAUGAUCAGCCACACUGGAACUGAGACACGGUCCAGACUCCUACGGGAGGCAGCAGUGGGGAAUAUUGCACAAUGGGCGAAAGCCUGAUGCAGCCAUGCCGCGUGUAUGAAGAAGGCCUUCGGGUUGUAAAGUACUUUCAGUCGUGAGGAAGGGUGUGUAGUUAAUAGCUGCAUAUCUUGACGUUAGCGACAGAAGAAGCACCGGCUAACUCCGUGCCAGCAGCCGCGGUAAUACGGAGGGUGCGAGCGUUAAUCGGAAUUACUGGGCGUAAAGCGCAUGCAGGUGGUUCAUUAAGUCAGAUGUGAAAGCCCGGGGCUCAACCUCGGAACCGCAUUUGAAACUGGUGAACUAGAGUGCUGUAGAGGGGGGUAGAAUUUCAGUGUAGCGGUGAAAUGCGUAGAGAUCUGAAGGAAUACCAGUGGCGAAGGCGGCCCCCUGGACAGACACUGACACUCAGAUGCGAAAGCGUGGGGAGCAGACAGGAUUAGAUACCCUGGUAGUCCACGCCGUAAACGAUGUCUACUUGGAGGUUGUGGCCUUGAGCCGUGGCUUUCGGAGCUAACGCGUUAAGUAGACGCCU
rnacentral:rRNA from 1 species